AUAACCCUGGGAAACUGGGGAUAAUACUGGAUAGGCAAUUAUUCCUGUAAUGGUUUUUUGUUUAAAUGUUUUUUCGCCUAAGGAUGAGUCUGCGGCCGAUUAGGUAGUUGGUUAGGUAAUGGCUUACCAAGCCGUUGAUCGGUACGGGUUGUGAGAGCAAGAGCCCGGAGAUGGAACCUGAGACAAGGUUCCAGGCCCUACGGGGUGCAGCAGGCGCGAAACCUCCGCAAUGUGAGAAAUCGCGACGGGGGGAUCCCAAGUGCCAUUCUUAACGGGAUGGCUUUUCAUUAGUGUAAAGAGCUUUUGGAAUAAGAGCUGGGCAAGACCGGUGCCAGCCGCCGCGGUAACACCGGCAGCUCUAGUGGUAACAAUUUUUAUUGGGCCUAAAGCGUCCGUAGCCGGUUUAAUAAGUCUCUGGUGAAAUCCUGCAGCUUAACUGUGGGAAUUGCUGGAGAUACUAUUAGACUUGAGACCGGGAGAGGUUAGAGGUACUCCCAGGGUAGAGGUGAAAUUCUGUAAUCCUGGGAGGACCGCCUGUUGCGAAGGCGUCUAACUGGAACGGUUCUGACGGUGAGGGACGAAAGUUAGGGGCGCGAACCGGAUUAGAUACCCGGGUAGUCCUAACUGUAAACGAUGCGGACUUGGUGUUGGGGUGGCUUUGGGUUGUUCCGGUGCCGAAGGGAAGCUGUUAAGUCUACCGCCUGGGAAGUACGGUCGCAAGACUGAAACUUAA
rnacentral:rRNA from 1 species